GCAGAAACCCUUGCUCAGGGGCAUUUUCAUCUCAACAGAAAAUCAAAGUAAAUCCUGGAUCCCUUUUAAAUAUGAAAAAUUACCAACAUUCUAUUUUGGCUAUGAAAAGAUGGGGCAUGGGCUUAUAGAGUGCCAAGAGUUUACACCUGUAGAAAGAAAUAAAAUUAGAAUUGAUCCUCAUUUUUCUUUAGCAUUAAAAGUAGAAUUAAAUUUAAUUGGAAGGGAGAGUCUAAAGUUUAAUACUAAUUCAAAGAAAAUGCAGCCUCAAUGUUCAUACAUAGGUGAUAUUGAGAAAAUUACAGAAUUAAAUUUACAAGUGGAGGAUAGAAGUGAUAUGUCCCCAAGCAUCCAAGUCAGUCCACAAUUUAUAGAGAAAGAGAUAGCGAUGAAAAUGCAGGAGGAAGAGACAGAUGUGGAAGAAAAGACGAUUGGGAAAAAUAAUAAUUUUGGAAAAAUUCUGAAACCAGCUAAGAAAUCGAGUUAGAAGCGAAUUGAGGUAGUAAGAGAGGUGGAUACUUAUAAUGGUGAUCGUAGACUGAGAAAGAGGAAAUCGGAUGAGAUUGCAAUUGAAGAAGAUGUUAUAGAAAUCUCUCAUAAAGAUGAAGCAAAAAAAAAAUGAAGUAUGAUGGCAAAGAAUUUCAAAUUGAAGGAGGUACAAUUUUGUCGGCAGAAAAUCUCAAACAAUAUUAUGUUACCCAUCAAUACAAAUCGGCAGCUACCAAAAGGCAAGCUGACUGGGCACAAUGAAAACUAUAUGUUGGAAUGUUCAUGGAUUAGGGAGUCCAUGGGCAGCACGAAGGCUUCGGUAUUUGUUGAAACAACAUAAGCCCCAAAUGGUCUUCCUCAUGGAGACUAAAAUUGAUGGACACCGUAUGGAAAAAAUUAGAAGGAGAUAUGGUUUCGAGAAUGGGAUUGAUGUAGGAGCAGAAGGGUUUAGAGGUGGAAUUUGUAUGGCAUGGAAAGCAGGAAUUACGGUAGAUCUUAAAAGUUUCUCAAAAAGUCAUGUUGAUGUGAUGGUAAAAGAGGACAAUGUCAACGAAGAGUGGAGAUUUACAGUGUUUUAUGGAUCGCCUUAUGUUAAUAACAAGAAUGCCUUGUGGAAUUUGCUAAGGCAGUUGGGUCAAUAUCAAAAUCAUCCAUGGCUGGUAUGUGGUGAUUUUAAUGAAAUAAUGUAUUCUUUUGAAAAAAGCGGAGGUCAACCAAAGGAAGAGAAAAGAAUGAAAGCUUUUCAUGAGGUUCUAAAUGAAUGUCAAUUAAUGGACGUGGGUUACACGGGGGUUUGGUUCACAUGGGAGAGAGGGAACUUACCGGAAACAAAUAUUAAAGAGAGACUAGAUAAAGGCGUGGCAAAUGAAAAGUGGAUGCAACUUUUUCCAAAAGGAAUUAUUCAUCAUUUAACAUACUCAAUUUCAAAUCACUGCCCCUACUUAUUAAUACUAAUAAUGAAAAUAGUAAUAAGGGAAUUCCAAGUUUCAAAUUCGAGGCAUGGUGGACCAUAGAGGAAUUUGUUGAACGAGAGAUUAAAAGAACGUAGGAGUCUUCAAAUGGAUCUAUUCGUGAAAAAUUAGAAAUGCUGCAAUUCAGCUUGAUGAUGUGGGCAAGCUCAAUAAAGAAGGGUCGAGAUGGUUUAAGUAAUAGGCUCACAAAGGAACUAGAAGAAUUACUGGCAAGUAGUAGGUAUGAUGUCACAAUGGAAAAACUGAUUGAUACUAGAAUUCGACUUAAUAUGGAGAUUGAUAAAGAUGAAAUGUAUUGGGAACAAAAGGCACGGGCUAACUGCCUUCAAUUAGGGGAUAAGAAUUCGGCUUUUUUUCACAAGUAUUCCAUAGCACGUAAACGAAUUAAUACUAUUGCUAGGCUGGAAUUGAUGGAGGACAGGAAAUUUCUGAUGAAUUAGUAAUUAAUGAAGCCGCUUCAAAUUACUUCCAAAAUUUAUUCACAUCAAAGGGAGUGGGGAACUUAUCCUAUCUUCUAACGGGAAUCAAUACUAAUGUUUCAUCUGAUAUCAAUACAGAUUUGCUAGUACCAUUUACGGCAGAAGAGGUAUUUUCAGCUUUGAAAGGAAUAGGGCCUACUAAAGCGCCAGGCUGUGAUGGUUUUUCGGCAUUAUUUUUUCAAAGAUUUUGGCACAAAUUUAGGUAAGGAUGUUGAAAAUUUUUGUUUGGGAAUUCUAAAUGAUGGGAAGGAUUUUGAUUCUCUAAAUCAUACUGAUAUUGUGCUUAUCCCAAAAAUAUCAAAUCUCACCAAUCUUGUUAAUUUUAGACCUAUUAACUUAUGCACAGUUUUAUACAAAAUUGUGGCAAAAAUAACUGCAAAUCAUCUUUAGGAAGUCAUUGGAAUAUGUAUAGACAAGACCCAAAGUACUUUUGUUCUAGGAAGAUUAAUUACUGACAACAUGUUGGUAGCCUACGAACUCUUACAUACGUUACGUCAAAAAUGAACCGGGAAAAAAAGGCUUAUGAUAGUUAAACUAGACAUGGGUAAAGCUUAUGAUAGAGUUUAAUGGCCUUUUCUAAAGGAAGUUAUGUUUCAAAUGGGAUUUGCAAAAGAAUGGGUGUUAUUAAUUAUGAAAUGUAUCUCUACAAUCUCUUAUACAGUCAACAUCAAUGAGAGAAGAGGAAACAUUUUUAAACCCACUUGAAGGCUUCGUCAGGGUACCUCACUUAGCCUUUUUCUUUUUCUGAUAUACAUUAAGGGACUCUCGUCUUUAAUAAGAAUGGCGACAACUGAGGGUUUGCUCAAUGGAGUAAGGGCGAGUAGAAGGGGGCCAAAAAUAUCCCACCUACUGUUUGUAGAUGAUUAUAUAUUGUUUGGUGAAGCGAAAAGUAGAGGGGCAAGAAUUUUAAAAGAAAUUUUGAAAGAAUAUGAGCAGUGUUCAGGGCAAUGCGUGAAUUUUAGUAAGUCAACGAUUUUUUACAGUUCAAAUACAACAGAAAGAAACAAAGAAGGCAUAUUGAGUUUACUAGGGGUAAGGUGAUCCACAAAUCUGGAAAAAUAUUUAGGACUCCCUAAUGUGAUAGGCAGACGAAAGAAGAAAGCUUUUCAGAAUCUAAAGGAUAAAAUUAAUUCGAGGUUUGAAAGCUAGAGUAUAAGACUACUGUCACAAGGGGGAAAGGAGAUCUUUAUUAAGUCAGUACUUCAAGCAAUUCCAACUUAUGCUAUGUCAUGUUUUCUCCUACCAAAAUCUUUACAUGGGUAGUUAGAAAAUAUCUUUGCUAAAUUCUGGUGACAAAAAGGACAGAAAAAGAAAGGAAUACACUGAUGUCAAUGGAAAUUUAUUUGUCGAUCAAAAGAGGAAGGGGGAAUGGGCUUUAGAAAUCUGUCGCCAUUCAAUAUUUCAUUACUAGCAAAGCAAGGGUGAAGGAUUAUUAAGAUUCAGGAUUCUUUGGUUACACAAGUAUGUAAAGCAAAAUAUUUUCUGAAUGAGCAUUUUUUAAAUUCUCGUUUGGGAAAAACUAGCUCUUAUAUUUGGAAAAGCAUUUGGGCAGCGAAAGGUAUUUUGGAAAAAGGAAUAUGUUGGAGGGUUGGUAUAGGUUCAAACAUUUCUAUUCAUGCUGAUGCGUGGAUUCGAGAUGUUGUUAAUUUUAGAUUAUCUUCAAUUGUUAAUACUAUGUGAGAUGAAAAGGUUAGUGAGUUGAUCGACAGCAAUGCGAGAAUAUGGAAAAAAGAACUCAUAAACAAUACCUUUUCAAAAGACGAUGCUGGAAAAAUUAUCCAGAUACCUUUAGCGCGCACACCUCAGGAUGAUCUGUUUGCCUGAGGAGGUGAACAUUCAGGGGAAUUCUUGGUCUGCAGCGCCUACAAACUAUUAUAAUUUUUUGAUGAAAUUCCUAGAGCUUAUGCUUUACAAACCAACUACGAGAAUUCUUACAAAAAACUCUGGCUCCUAAAUCUACCUACUAAAAUAAAGGCUACAGUAUGGAGAAUUUCAUGGAACUAUCUGCCUACGAGGAUUAAUAUGCACUACUGAAAGCUCGUUAGUAAUACAAGCUGCCCCCAAUGUGGAGAAAAUAAUGAAACAAUCGAUCAUAUCUUUCGCGAAUGUCCUGUCACGGUGGAAGUUUGGACACUAUUAAAUCUUCAAAAUAUUCUUAUAAAUUCUACCAUGGAUUUUUUACAGUGGAUUCCCUAGAUCUUUGAUCAGCUCACUACAUGUCAGAACAAACUCUUCUGCUGCGGUCUCUGGGCUAUCUGGGGAGAGAGAAAUAAAAGACUGCAUGAGCAGAAACAGAGUACAGUCAUGAAAUAGUAAACUUCAUCAACAACUAUCUUGCUGAACUUAAUGGUUUAGAAAGGAAAAAUCCAGUAAGGGGGAAUGAGCAAAGAAGAUGGAAUUACCCAACUAGUGAGUUCGUCAAAAUUAAUUUUGAUGGUGCUAAUGAUGCGACUCAUCAACAAUCUGCCUUAGGAAUUGUAGCUAGAAAUGAAGAAGGGGUUGUCUUACUUUCCUGUUCAGAGAUCCACCAUGGGGUAACUUUCGCCUUUGCAGCUGAAGCAAUAGCGUGCCAAAAAGCGGUCCAAACAGGAGUUGAACAAGAAUGGCCGAAGAUCAUUAUUGAAGGUGAUUCCCUCACAAUAAUUAAGAAAUGUAUAUCAAAGAGUCAAGGCCAUUCAGAUAUUGGAGCAUAUAUAUAUGAUAUUAAACAAAAACUGAACAGAUCGAGAAGCUUCAUAUUCAAACACACACCAAAAUUUGCAAAUGCUCUCGCGCAUAUAUUGGCAAUAGAAACUCUAAAAAGGAAGGAAGAGAUGUACCUGGAUAUGAAGGUCCUGGGGUAUGCUGAAAAUCAACGAAAGAUUGAGUGGAGAAGAGAACCGGAUUGAGGAGAGAACGGGGAAGAAGAGAACUGAGAGGAAAGGAAAAGAGAGCAAAUAAAUCGGUUUUAGAAGAACAACUUUCCCAAAAACUAAACUGUCAAAAGCAAAGAAAGAAAUAAGACUCAAAUGACAAGACAGGGUUCAGCAAUUUCUGACUGGGCAUUAAUUAGAUGUAAUUAUUAUGAUUUCUAGACUAUUCGGUUAAAAUAUCUAGAUUUGUUCUGAGUUUGGGCCAUUUUAUUUGAUGUUCAUUGUUUGCUGUUUAUUUUUUGGUUUCAUA
rnacentral:lncRNA from 1 species